rnacentral:rRNA from 1 species
UACGUAGGGGACAAGCGUUGUCCGGAUUUAUUGGGCGUAAAGAGCGUGUAGGCGGCCAGAUAGGUCGGUUGUGAAAACUGGAGGCUUAACCUCCAGCCGUCGACCGAAACCAUCUGGCUAGAGUCCGGAAGAGGAGAGUGGAAUUCCUGGUGUAGCGGUGAAAUGCGCAGAUAUCAGGAAGAACACCCGUGGCGACGGCGGCUCUCUGGGACGGUACUGACGCUGAGACGCGAAAGCGUGGGGAGCGAACAGG